CUUCUUUAAAACAUAAGUGAUAAGUUUGUUUCAGUUAUGGUCCUCUUCCAGUUAGAAUAUGACUAUAUUACCUUGACCUUAUUGCAUAUGAAGAAUUCCCCAUGAUAGCUUACGUUAUGCUGUCAAGCACUCGAAAAGUCAAGUGUGAUGUCUUCUGACAGCUCUUGUUAAGUUUAACAGUUUAUGACUUAAUACGACUUUGUUGUUUAUCAACCUGAGCAUAUUCUCAUGGUAAGAUUUUGUGAUUGCUUUUUGUACGUCGUGCAUUGUCUGUCGUGCGUUGACAAUAUUUUCCUGGUUCCACUCCACAAACCACAUUUAUUGUCCGAUCUUCAUGAACCUUGGUCAGAAGAUUUGUCCUCAUGAAAUCUUGGCCAUAUUUGAAACUUUUUUACAUGAGGUCAUAAACUAGGACACUAAAUAAAAUUAUAGAAUAAGCUUGACCUUUCAUUUAUUGUCCAAUCUUCAGGAAAAGGGGUAAAAUCAUAAAUGUUAAUGAUAUCUCAGCUGAGUCUGAAUAGGAUUUCGUUUCGUUGAAAUGUAUGGAGACUAGUGGACUGGGCCGAUUGUCUUAAAUAGCUGUAGUAGAACCUUGUUAACACCAUAGAAUACACAUUUAUAGUUUAAUCAUCUUGACAUGUGGUUGAUACAUUUGUUCUUAUGAUACAACAGCUUAGUUCAAAAAUGGUUCCGGUUCAUUUAACGACAUGAAGGCCAGGGGGAGAGCAGUUUUCAUGUCCCUUGUAUGUCUUUAGUAAAACCACUAUAAGUCAUAUUAUUGUAUAGUCUGUUUGAAAAUCAAUAAAAACAUUUGUUCAUAUCUCAGUUGAGUUUGAAAAUGGUUGCGGUCUGUAAACAAAACAUGGCCGCCAGGGGGCUGGUCAAUUUUUAUAACCCCGGUAGGGUGGCAUAUAGCAGUUGAACUGUCCGUCAGUCAGUAUGUGUGUAUGUCAGUCUGUCCGUCCGUCCGUCUGAAAACUUUAAUGGCCAUAACUUUUUCAAUAUUGAAGAUAGCAACUUGAUAUUUGGCAUGCAUGUGCAUCUCACGGAGCUGCACAUUUUGAGUGGUGAAAGGUGAAGGUCAAGGUCAUCCUUCAAGGUCAAAUGUCUAAUAUAUGGCGUCU